rnacentral:lncRNA from 1 species
GUUGGUACUGCAUCCCAGGCUACCACUGAUUCAUUCAAAAUAUUUGAGUCUGUACCACGUGGCAAGAACUGCCCUCUAUACUGAUCUGGGGAGCAGAAAGAAGAGAUGUCUUGAAGCAGUCAAGGGAACAAGGGGUCAAGUUGUUCCCUUGGGGGCCAGAUCACCUUGGGCCAUGAUAGAAGAUUUGGAUUUCAUUCUGUAAGCAUGGGCAGCCAUUGCAGUAAGAAGGAGGCAUUUGGUCCACAAUUGCAUCCCUCAAAAUAAGCCUCCAGGAUGGACCCUUUGGCCCUAAACCAUCCCUGAACAAAUCAGAGAUCCACGGAUCCUACAUUUCCUUUCCUGGAAGCAUCAAUGCUUCAAGUCACUGACCCCAGCUUCCUCUUCCCUUUGCCAGUGUGAAACAUUCAUUCUUUAUUCCCGUCCAGGGCUGCCUCUCCCCACUUCUCUGAAUAAAGUUGAAAAUGGAGCUAUAAGAACGG